rnacentral:tRNA from 1 species
GCGUCGGUCGUAUAGCGGCAAUUACACGAGACUGUAAAUCUCGCGGCCAUAGGCCUACGGGGGUUCGAGUCCCUCCCGACGCA